rnacentral:rRNA from 1 species
UACAGAGGUGGCAAGCGUUGUUCGGAAUUACUGGGCGUAAAGGGCGCGUAGGCGGUUCGAUAAGUCCCGUGUGAAAUCCCUCGGCUCAACUGAGGAACUGCACGGGAAACUGACGGGCUUGAGUUCGGGAGAGGGAAGCGGAAUUCCGGGUGUGAGCGGUGAAAUGCGUAGAUAUCCGGAGGAACACCGGUGGCGAAGGCGGCUUCCUGGACCGACACUGACGCUGAGGCGCGAAAGCUAGGGGAGCAAACGGG